GGAGGCAAAAGGCUGAGUAACACGUAGGCAGCCUGCCUUCAGGAGGGAAAUAACCUCGGGAAACUGAGGAUAAUGUCCCAUAGGCUUAGGAUAUUGGAAUAUUCCUAAGUUGAAAGCUUCGGCGCCUGAAGAUGGGCCUGCGACUUAUCAGGUUGUUGGUAGUGUAAUGGACUACCAAGCCUUUGACGAGUAGGGGCAGUGAAAGCUGGAGCCCACAGACGAGUACUGAGACACGGACUCGAGCCCUACGGGGUGCAGCAGGUGCGAAACCUCCGCAAUGCACGCAAGUGUGACGGGGGGAUCCCAAGUGUUCUUCCUUUAAAGAAGUACUUUUCUCACGUGUAAAUAGCUUGAGGAAUAGGGGCUGGGUAAGACGGGUGCCAGCCGCCGCGGUAAUACCCGCAGCUCAAGUGGUUUGGAGUUUUAUUGGGUCUAAAGCGUUCGUAGCUGGGUCUGUAAGUUCUCUGUGAAAUCUGGCAGCUUAACUGUCAGGCGUGCAGAGGAUACUGCGGACCUUGGGACGGGAGUGGGCCAAAGGUACUCCUGGGGUAGGGGUGAAAUCCAAUAAUCCUGGGGGGACCACCUGUGGUUAAGACGUUUGGCUAAGACGGGUCCGACAGCGAGGGACGAAAGCUAGGGGAGCGAACGGGAUUAGAUACCCCGGUAGUCCUAGCCGUAAAUGAUGCAAACUAGGUGUUGCAGCCUUUUCGUGAGGUUGCAGUGCCGAAGGGAAGCCGUUAAGUGUGCCACCUGGGAAGUACGGUCGC
rnacentral:rRNA from 1 species